GCACAGACGUCCUCUGAGGGAGGCGGGAACUCCGGGCGCGGGCGCGGGCGGUCUCAGCUGCACCUCCUGACCUCCGGGCCCGCGCGUUGCGUCCGCGCCGGGGCGAUUUAGCUCGAUUUUAAGGCAGGGGCCGUUUAUGUUGAACUGCUUUUCGCUAGAGGUGGUUCUGAGCUCAGAUGCAACGGUGAUGUGGGGAGGAGAAUGGGGAAGGGGAGGAGGCCAGAGCUGGUUCCUGCAGAGCGAGCGUCUCUCUAGCGGCGCCGUCCCCGAGGUGGACGCGUCACCGCGGAAACCUCUUUUGCACAGUGGGACGCCGUGGCCUGGAGAUGCGGAGCUCCUGGGUCUCUGUUUUUUAAACUGCUGCUUUCCUUUGGGUGGUUGUGCCUCAGUGGAAAGUAAGGCGAGCCUUUUUUUUUUUUUUUAUGGGGUCCUGCAAGAAAUAGGCUGGAAAGACCCGGUGAGGAAGAAAUUCUUUAACAGCUGUUUUUAGCUUUUUAAGGUGAUUGAUUUUCAGACGUGGCUUCCUAUCAGAAAACCAAUCAACUGAGGAGCUCUUUCAAAGCCAAGAUAGCAAGACCACACCCCAGACCUGCAUCAGGAAGUGGGGGACAGGGCUGAUGGAGGCUGAAAAGUCGCUUCGGCUGAUUCUGAUGUGUAUCAGUUUGGGAAGUCACCGAUCUAACCAAUAUUAUGUCCUGAAAGCCCCACUCAGUGUCCUGGCGUGAGUUGGAUUACAGAUGCCCUAAAAAUGACUGCAGCAAUGCCUGGACAUAUGUCAGACUUCCAGAUAACCCUGAUUACAUCCGGAGUACUCACCAAUUUGGACCACCUGACAUCUGACUGAUAACCAUCCUGGACCAAUCUUAGAGCUAAGAGUGCAGAACUGAUUAUUCUCCAAAAUGCACUUUUUUCUAUCAGAACUCUUUCUUCUUCGGAACACUUCUGGGUUUUUGCCUAGUUGUGUUUCCAGUUUGCAAACCUUAAGACCCUUGAAUAAAUCAUUUCAUUUCUA